UACGAAAGGUGCAAGCGUUAAUCGGAAUUACUGGGCGUAAAGCGCGCGUAGGCGGCUUGGUAAGUUGGAUGUGAAAGCCCCGGGCUCAACCUGGGAACUGCAUCCAAAACUGCCUAGCUAGAGUAUGGUAGAGGAUGGCGGAAUUUCCUGUGUAGCGGUGAAAUGCGUAGAUAUAGGAAGGAACAUCAGUGGCGAAGGCGGCCAUCUGGACCAAUACUGACGCUGAGGUGCGAAAGCGUGGGGAGCAAACAGG
rnacentral:rRNA from 1 species